CCUACGGGAGGCAGCAGUGGGGGAUAUUGCACAAUGGGGGGAACCCUGAUGCAGCGACGCCGCGUGGGUGAAGAAGCGCCUCGGCGCGUAAAGCCCUGUCAGCAGGGAAGAAAAUGACGGUACCUGAAGAAGAAGCCCCGGCUAACUACGUGCCAGCGGCCGCGGGAAUACGUAGGGGGCAAGCGUUAUCCGGAUUUACUGGGUGUAAAGGGGGCGCAGACGGCGAUGCAAGCCAGGAGUGAAAGCCCGGGGCCCAACCCCGGGACUGCUCUGGGAACUGCGUGGCUGGAGUGCAGGAGGGGCAGGCGGAAUUCCUGGUGUAGCGGUGAAAUGCGUAGAUAUCAGGAGGAACACCGGUGGCGAAGGCGGCCUGCUGGACUGCAACUGACGUUGAGGCCCGAAAGCGUGGGGAGCAAACAGGAUUAGAUACCCCAGUAGUC
rnacentral:rRNA from 1 species